rnacentral:rRNA from 1 species
CCCUUAGAUGUUCUGGGCUGCACACGUGCUACACUGGCAGGUUCAGCGAGCUUCAUGCCCUGAUCUGAAAGGAAUGGGAAAUCUUUUCAAAACCUGCCGUGCUUGGGAUAGAUGUUUGCAAUUAUUCAUCUUCAACGAGGAUUGCCUUGUAAGCGCACGUCAUCAGCGUGCAUUGAAUACGACCCUGUAUUCUGUACACACCGCCCGUCGCUCCUACCGAUUGAAGUUUUCGGAGAGUUGACAGGAGGAUUUUUUUGAAACUGGUUCGCCAGUGGAUUUUAGAUCCAAAUGCCAACGAAUCGAUGGCUUUAGAGGAAGGAGAAGUCGUAACA